rnacentral:rRNA from 1 species
AACGAACGCUGGCGGCAGGCUUAACACAUGCAAGUCGAGCGGUAAGGCCCUUUCGGGGGUACACGAGCGGCGAACGGGUGAGUAACACGUGGGUGACCUGCCCUCAGCUCUGGGAUAAGCCUGGGAAACCGGGUCUAAUACCGGAUAUGACUCCAUGACGCAUGUUGUGGGGUGGAAAGCCUUGUGCGGCUGAGGAUGGGCCCGCGGCCUAUCAGCUUGUUGGUGGGGUGANGGCCUACCAAGGCGACGACGGGUAGCCGGCCUGAGAGGGCGACCGGCCACACUGGGACUGAGACACGGCCCAGACUCCUACGGGAGGCAGCAGUGGGGAAUCUUGCGCAAUGGGCGAAAGCCUGACGCAGCGACGCCGCGUGAGGGAUGACGGCCUGG